UACCUGCUGUCCGUGCAUGCCAUAAUCCGAUGGAUCCUAGCGGAAGUGACCUGGAUUCGAGUCUGCCCCAUGCAGAGAACCCGUGCCUGAUCGUGGAGGACUCCCAGCCCGACAGUGCGGCACUGGAGGACGACCCGGACAGUAGCUACCGCGCCUUGCUCGCCCGCCGCUUGUCCAGCCUGCAGCCCGCCACCUCCCACAGCCCUGUACUGGAGCUGAUCUCCUCUCCAGCAGGAAAUCGAUACUCCGAGACCGACAGCCAAUCAGAGAGGGUCCAGAACAACAAUCACAACGGGCCAGUCAACCAGGAGGAAAGUCAAGUCCUAGAAGUUUGCUCCAAUACAAGGAGGUGUGCUACAGAAGACAUGGCCACGGAGUCUGGGGCGGACUCCACUACACACUGCGCCCAGUCUGAAGGAGGAGUGUCCAAGUUUGAUUGUCUGGAGCUUUCUGAGAGCCAGGGUCUGGGUGAAGUGGUGGGGAACAGUCAGGAGGAGGAGGGCCCUACUGCUGCCCAGACAGACAGCCAGAGACACAACAAGCCAGGUGAACAGAAGAACACAACCAGGGGCUUGCCUUCAGGCAGUCAGGACAGCAAAUCCAAGAGGUCGGAGGUGAGCUCUAGCAGCUCGUCGGAGCCCCUGGGUUGUGCCGGCCGGGAACUGAGUGUCCAGGCUUUGCUCCACUCACAGGGCCUGCAGGCCUCCGAGGACCAGGAUCCCAAAGGGGACGACUCUGAGCUGCUGUCCUCUCAGGAGGACCUUUUCGACACUGACAAGACAGGCACAGGGGUGGACAGCACAAUGUCAGAGCCAGAGAACCAAGGCGUGCCCACCCUGACCCCUGCCCACACCCUGCAUCUGCUGCACCUCUCUGGGCAGGGCACCCUGGUGCAGGAGAGCCUCUCCCAGAACUCUGUUGACUUUGUAGCACCCAGCCAGGAAAAUUUGAGCAAAACACCUUUUAUUGUCCCCAAUUCACCGACAGGACAAGAAAAUGAACUGGGUGCCGACGAACCAAUGGACACCUCUAUGCCUCCGGAGGACCAAUCGGAUGGCAAGGAGGAGGAGCCAAUGGACAUGGACCCAGCUCCUAAGUCACACCCCUCGGCAUCCACCCCAGUAUCCCAGAACUCCCCAGAUUUUGUGUUGGAGAGGACCCUCUCUCUGCCUACCCAGCCGGAGUUCUCUCAUGAUGUAUUUGUCCCAACCCAGAGCCAAGAGGCUGGAAGCAGUAGCAUAGCUCCACAAGAGACGCACAGCAGGGAAGUGACAUCAUCAUCCCAACCCACAGCACUGGAUUCAAGCUCACCCAAGAUGGCUGCUGCACCCGCCCAGUCCAAAGCACCCACAACAACUGACCGAGAACACUCUGUGACUGAUUCUUUCCAACUGGAGCUGUCUGUGAAUACUCCGAGCUGUAGUCUGCCCCAGCAGGCUUCCAUGCAGGCUGGGGGGAAGGAUGUCGAGGAGGACAGUCAGGCUACACAGAUAGAAGGAGGUCUGGACGGACCCCUACGGAUAGACACCAGUGACUCUGUGAUUUCACGUAACAGCCAGAAGAGGGAAAGUAACGGGGUCCCCUCCGACCCAAAAACCCCUGCUAUUUUGCCUAAAGUUCCUCAGGUGCCUGACUUGCUGAAGACUAGUGGGGAAAGUACCAGGAGAGAGGAAUGUAACACUUCACAGAAGUCUGACACGCACAAACAGACAACCUUGGAUGUACGCAACGUGAAUAUAGGCGACGAUGGUAUCAAUGUGACCAAAACAGAUAGUUCUCAGAAGCAGGAUACCAAGGCCUCUUCCCCCUCUCCCUCCUCCCAACAGAAGCUUGAAACCAUAGACGUAUUCACCCCUAGCAGCUGUGUGCAGAAGACGCCUUCUUCCUCGAAUAGCACUCCCUGUAGUUUGGCCUCCCUGUCUCAAUCCCAGUCUGUUUUCUCACAGAUGUCUCACGUGGGGUCAGUGAAGGCUCUCUCGCCGAGUCCUGGUGUUUGUGUAGACUCCAGAAGAGAUGGAGGAGGAAGGAGAGAAGUAGGAGAAGGAGGGGGAGUGGGAAGCCCGACGAGCUCACAGAAAAACCGGGACCCGUCUAAAUCCAUACAGUCUUUAUCGCAGGAGCGUGGAGGCACUGCUACCAACAGCCCAAAGGAGAAAAACAAAGCAGAUGAAGAAGAGGAGGAAGAAGGGAUGGAGGAGGGGGGAGAGAAGCAGCAGGACAGCACGUUGGGGCCCGAGGGCUCAGGCCUCUAUCUGUCUCUCUCUCAGAGCCAGGUGCUUUCUCCAGAGCCUAUGGAGGAAGAAGAGGAAAAGAGAGGGAAGUUCCCUGUCUCGCACUCCAGGAGGGAGGGAGGAGAGGAGGAGAGCUGCAGCAGCAUCAUUGUGCUGGAGGAGAGCGAGAGGAGCUCCCAACUACUGGAGAAGGAAGUGAAGUCGCCGUCGAAGGUGGACACGUCUCAGCCAGUGGCAAGCCGGCGGGGGUCAGUGUCGUCCAAUGGCACAGGGUCACAGCUGAAGGACACCCAGCUGGUACCAAUUGGACUCGCCCAGGCUAAAAAGGAAGGGUCUAGGGAAGCAGAGGGGCUCCGAGACAAGAGCCUCAGUGACAGCUCUGGAGCAGAGAUUCCAUUCCACUUUACUCUCCCCAAAGAAGGCGAGCUGAUUGGCCCUCCUGUGAGUGCCACUCCCCCUCUGAUCAGCCAGUUGAAGCAGACACCGAGACACAGCACUCCGAUUGACAUGACUUCCUUCUCUGACAAGUCCGUGGUGGUGGGUGAUGUUUCCACGGAGACGGCGAUGGCGACCAGCGAAAUCACGGCGGGGGAGAGUGGCGAGGACACGGCCGAAGGGGCUGAUGGGAAACUGAGUUUGCGGAUGAAGCUGGUGACCCCCGUGGAGGAGGGCAGCUCAGAACGCUUCAGCCUGCAGAAGCCACCGCAAUCAGACGAGGAAGGCUCUGUCUCCAAGGUUACCACCGUUGUCAAGGCUGUAACCAGCCCCCUGCACAGCCCCUCUGUGUUCAGCAGGGUGAGGGAGGCCCACAGACAGGUGAUGGAGGACCAGGCCGAGGCCCAUCCCAGUGACCCUGAAACCCCUGUCAGAGGGGAACUGUUCAGCUCACCCUCACAGCAGAAAAGCUCCCAAAAACCCUCCAACCCCUCUCCCUCCCUGGAAUGCAUCAGCCUCCCCAACAGCCAAUCCGAGCCCCUCUCCAGCCCCCGCCAGGAAGUGAAGCAUACGUUGCCAUUGGGGCUCAGAGAGAGAGAGCCUCCUGCUGAACCAUCCACCCCAGGCCGUCCAGCAGUGAAAACACCACAAAAAGGCACCGCAGUUGGUGACAGAGAGCCGUGUGGGCCCCCGGAGCCAUCCACACCCACCAGAGCCGCUGCCAUCAGACAGAGGGCCGUGUCCCAGCAGACAAGCUUUGACAACACCAUCUCUCCCAGUUCACCCAGUAAGCUUUGUCAGAGAGUGGCGUCUCAACAGACCAGUUUUGAAGCGGCUGGCCCCAGGUCUCCAGCAGCCAGCGGCGAGCCAGAGACCCCACCCUCGAGGGCAGCUGCUGGUCCCGCCCAUCGCAGACACGUGCGGACCAUUCAGGAAGUGCGGACGACGGUCACACGCAUCAUCACAGACGUGUACUACGAGGACGGGAGAGAGGUGGACCGUAAGGUCACUGAGGAGUCGGAGGAGCCGGUGGUGGACAGCCGUGUGUUGGACAGCGACAUCUCUCCGUGUCGCACCGGCAGCUCCAUGACCUCCGGUGACCUGGGUGAUGUCAGCUCUCUGUCCUCCAAAGCUUCCAGCCUGCAGCACAGCUCCGGGGGCACCAGCAUAGUCACGGGCCCUGGCCAGAGGGGCCCCGACUUUAUCAUGCCGCCCAGCCGAGGGGCCAAGUCUGCCAGCCCCAGGAGGGGGAGUGGGCCGCAGCAGAGGGCACACAGGGGUCAAACGGCAGGGUCAGAGUUCAUGGGAGAGAGAGUUCAAGGACUCCAUGGGUCACGGGCCUUCACCCCAUUGACGCCCCGCGGAAGAGCCAGGAGGGGCAGACCUCCGUCCCGCUCACCCCUGUCCAGGGGUGCCGGCGUCCCGCGUGCCAAUGCCCGCGGCCAACCCCUGUCCUCCUCCGAGGAUGAGUCCUACACCCGCCUGUGUCCCACCCCGCGCAUCCCAGAGAGCCCAGCGGUCCCCAGCCACUCCUCCACGUCUCUCCUCACCACCACUUCCCAAGAUGAAGUCAGCCCAGCUGGGAGCAGCUUUGUGGGGCUUCGCGUGGUGGCCAAGUGGUCCAGCAACGGCUACUUCUACUCAGGCCGCAUCACCAAGGACCUGGGCGAAGGGCGUUACCGGCUGCUCUUCGAUGACAGCUAUGAGUGCGAGGUCACGGGCAAGGACAUCCUGCUGUGCGACCCCAUCCCCCUGGAUACUGAGGUCACGGCACUGCUGGAGGACGAGUACUUCAGCACAGGUCGAGUGAAGGACUACAAGAAGGAGGGCGAGGAGUUGUUCUACAGUGUGGAGAAGCAGGGCCAGACUACAGCCACUACAGCUGUAGAGAGGGAGGGCCAGACUACAGCCACUACAGCUGUAGAGAGGGAGGGCCAGACUACAGCCACUACAGCUGUAGAGAGGGAGGGCCAGACUACAGCCACUACAGCUGUAGAGAGGGAGGGCCAGACUACAGCCACUACAGCUGUAGAGAGUCAGUGGUACAGCCGCAGUUCUGUCAUCCUGACCAUGGAGCAAGGCAACAGGCUGAGAGAACAGUACGGCCUGGGGCCCUACGAGCCCGCCACACCCCUGGCCAAGGCCUCUGACAUCAGCCUGGAUAACCUGGUGGAGGGGAAGAGGAGACGCAGGGGGAUCACAGGGGGGGCCAGCCCCCUCACCCCUGGCCCCUCUGGGAAGAGGAAGCUGAUCAGCUCUGAGGACAGGGACAGGACUCCGGCUAAGCGAGGCCGCAGAGGGGGAGGGGGAGCCAGAGCCGGUCAGCGGGUUGGUGUGUGUAACACCUCAGGCAGUGGCGCCGACCUGCCCUGGGACCAUAGUGACCUGGCGGAGACUCACGGCCCGCUGCCCCAGAGUGCAUCUCUCUUCCUGGGCUUUGCCUUCAUGCUGACCGCAUCAUCAGAGAGCGACCGCCAGACCAACCAGCCAAUCAGCGAUGGCGAGGAGGGUUGUCCUUUCCCUCCAAUAGAGUAUGUGCAGACGGCCCCCUAUCACAAACGCUACACUGAGACCCAGCUGGAGGCCGGAGCAGGCUUCAUUCUCCACGACUUCAAUGAGGAACAGUGCAAGGCGGCCUAUCAGAGCCUGCUGAUCACCGACCAGCAUAGCCGAACCAGGAAGUACCUGCUGUGUGUGGCCAGUGGUGUGCCGUGUGUGUCUCACAUCUGGGUGAGGGACUGUUGCAAGGAGGGCAAGCUGCUCAACUACAGGAACUACCUGCUGCCCGCCGGAGUGGGCCCUGACGAGCGCAUAGUGGAAUGUGCUUUACAGAUACCCAGCCUAAAACCCCUAAGAGCAAGCAAUGCACAAGCACAGUGGCUAGGAAAAACUUCCUGGAAAGGCAGGAACCUAUGAAGAAACCAGGCUCUGAGGGGUGGCCAGUCCUCUUCUGGAUGUACCAGGUGGAGAUUUUAAAGAGUACUUGUGCCAGAUGUUGAACCGUUCCUAGAUGACCAGCAGGUCAAAACAAAUAACCACGGUGGCUAUAGAGUGCAACACAACAGUCAUGCAUUCAAAGUGAACAAAACACUUCAAGAAUGAAUCUGGUCCUGGUGCUGAGGGAAAUGCAUGUGCUUUUGUUUAUUUUGAUCAGGCAUCCGCGCUGCAGCCCGUUUAAGGCCCUGCGGGUCCUGUUGGUAUUUGAGGAGCCGGCAGAGCUGUGGUCUGAGCUGCUGAUGAUGAGUGGAGCUUCCUCUGUGAGACAGCACCAAGCAGAAAAGGACAGCUCUGACAUUCCUGUGGGCAAGUUUGACGUGGUGGUCACAGACCGCACCUGUCCGCCACUGGUUCUGAAGAGUGUGACAUCACAGGAAGUACCCAUGGUGUCGCCCGAGUGGCUAAUCCACAGUCUGAUCUGUGGGGAGCGCCUGGGAUACCAUAGCAACCCCCAAUAUCGUCAUGACUACACAUCCCCACCCUCAUCCUAAUCCGAGCCUCCCUUCGCACACAAAGGUUUAUUGUCUGUAGAAGAUGCCCUUAUCCUCAGAUCUGGGAUCAGUUUCCCAACUCGCAAUCAUGA